ensembl:lncRNA
CAGCAGCUUUGGCCUUAAACUCGGUUAUUAACCUCGACAUUUUGAUGUUGUUGAUCUAUGAGAAAUAUGUGACAAAGCUGCUCAGUUACUCUGGACACCUGAUCAUUACUCUUGCUCUUUAUGCUCUGGCCAGGCUAAGGUGAUGUUAUACCCGUCUCCCAUAAACUGGCUUGCUCCUCAUCACUGGAGUCUCUGAAACUCACACAUCUCUUGGUCCUCGUGGAAUGUGAGGGGUGCCAUACAGAUAGCACAGAGCUUCCCCAUCAGUCUGAAGCACAGCGAGCAGUAAUGGCCUGUCAAAGGAAAUCAUUUUGUCCAGCAGGAAGUACAUAUUGGAGAUACAUGAAGAGAAGCAGGAAGAAACCCAACUAUGCCUGUAGAAGUUUGAGCUCCUGGAGGAGGCCCAGCUCCUCUGAAACCUCCUCCAUGAUCUCCUGAGCAGCAUCCUGCAUGGACUGACUGUUGUUUAGAAGCAGGUCAAAGUUGUUGGAGCCCAUUCAACAUUUUCCAUCGUGUUACUUACUGGGCCUUGGAUAACAAAGGCACAGAUGAGGAAAAGAAGCACAUUUUUACCCACGACUGAAAGACAGAGAAAGAGAUGCACUGAGUGUUAUGCCUGGAAUUACCUCUCUUGAAAACUGUGAAGUAAUAGACUAUUGAUAAACAGAUGAUUUAACAGCAGUUUAAAGUUAAUUCAGAGGAGAUUAAAGAGAGACUGGGGCUAGGUUGUCACACGAGGAAGGACUGUAUCUCAGUAUCUGUAAGGUUUUGAAAAGUCCAAUCAAUGCUUGUGUUGUGAGUUGGUUCUAAGCACCUAGUUUUAAAUA